AUGGAAAUAGGAAUCAAUAAGACUAUUUAUGUCACAGACAUCAUAAUAAUAUCAUUUUCUUAUGUGUUUGUUUCCCAGCCAACUCCAGAAAUCUUUGAUGUAGAUAACGGACUUGACCGGGAUAUAUUUGAUAUCAAUGAAGAUCUGGGACUGGAUCUUUUUGAGGGAGACAUCAUGCUUGAUGAGAUGCAAGAAAGAAAUGCCAUCGUUGGAGAAAGAUAUAGGUGGCCUCAUACUAUUCCAUAUGUUCUAGAUGAUAGCUUGGAGAUGAAUGCCAGGGGGGUUAUUCUCAAGGCAUUUGAACGCUAUCGCCUAAAAUCAUGCAUUGACUUCAAGCCUUGGUCUGGAGAACCCAGCUAUAUAUCAGUGUUCAAGGGCAAUGGCUGCUGGUCUUCAGUGGGGAAGCAAUUUACUGGGAUGCAACAACUGUCCAUCGGAGAGGGCUGUGACAAAAUAGCAACGGUUCAACAUGAGUUUCUCCAUGCCCUUGGGUUCUGGCAUGAACAGUCACGGUCCGAUCGGAAUGACUACGUCAGCAUAAUUUGGAACAGAAUUAUUUCAGGCAAAGAGAGAAAUUUUGACUUCUAUGAUGAUCAAGUAAUAGAUUCCUUGAACGUUCCCUAUGAUUACAGCUCAGUGAUGCACUACAGUAAAACUGCAUUCGGAAAUGGAUCAGAACCUACAAUUGUAACAAGGGUCCCAGACUUCAUGGAUGUGAUUGGCCAGCGAAUGGAUUUCAGUGACUCUGAUGUCUUAAAGUUGAAUCAACUGUAUAACUGCUCCUCCUCCUUGAGCUUUAUGGAGUCGUGCGAUUUUGAGCUGGAAAAUGUGUGUGGGAUGAUUCAGAGUUCAGCAGACAGUGCUGACUGGCAGCGGCUCUCCCAGGUCUCUCAGGGGCCGGAGAGCGAUCACUCCAACAUGGGCCGGUGCAGAGGUUCUGGCUUCUUCAUGCAUUUCAACUGUAGCUCUGUAAACGAGGGGGCCACAGCAAUACUGGAAAGUAGAAUACUUUACCCUAAACGAGGAUUUCAGUGCUUGCAAUUUUUUUUGUACAACAGUGGAAGUAAAGAUGACCAACUGAACAUCUAUAUCAGGGAGUAUUCUGCGGCUCAUCCGAGCAGGACUGUAAGCCUUGUGGAACAAAUAAAAGAUAUACCCUCUGGCAGCUGGCAACUUUACCAUGUAACACUGAAUGCGACAAGUAAAUUUCGAGUGGUGUUUGAAGGGGUCAGAGGCGCUGGUGCCUCACUGGGUGGCCUGUCUAUUGAUGACAUCAAUCUCUCAGAAACACGGUGCCCUCAUCAUGUCUGGCAUAUAAGGAAUUUCACACAGCUCAUUGGCAGCCCUGAUGGGUCUUUCUACAGCCCUCCAUUUUAUUCUUCUAAGGGAUAUGCCUUUCAGAUUUACUUGGAUCUAUAUAGUUUGCCUAAAAUAGGAAUGUAUUUCCACCUGAUCUCUGGAGCCAAUGAUGAUCAGUUAGAGUGGCCAUGUCCUUGGCAACAAGUCACGAUGACAAUCUUGGAUCAAACUCCUGACAUUCGACAGCGUAUGUCCAACCAGCAGAGUCUAACGACAGACCCAUUCCUGACCAUCGAUAAUGGAAACUAUUUUUGGGACAGGCCUUCCAAAGUGGGAGCACAAGUUAUUUUCCCUAAUGGAACUCAGUUUCAAAGAGGUAGGGGCCGUGGAUUCCAUAACUUUAUGACCCAAGAACUGCUGAAAAGCAGAGAUUUUAUCAAAGGAGAUGAUGUUUAUAUCCUACUGACAAUGGAAGACAUAUCCCACCUUAAUACACAAAAUGACCCACUUCCAACCUUGGACGUCAAUGACCUCUGCACAAGUUUCAGGUGUGAGAAUGAUGGGAUCUGCAUUCUCCAGAAUGGCAAAGCUGAGUGCAGGUGUCGGUCGGGGGAUGACUGGUGGUACAUGGGAGAAAGGUGUGAAAAGAGAGGGUCAACACGAGACACCAUUGUCAUCGCCACAUCUUCCACUGCCGCUGUGUUUGCCCUGAUGCUGAUCGUCACUCUUGUCAGCAUCUACUGUACCAGGAAGAAGUAUCGUAAGGAGCCAAGUUCAAGGACAGUCAACACUAUUAUGGAAAAUCAAUAUGCACUUUGAAGAUUAACUCUGCAAUACAGCCAGCAAAUGAAAUGAAAGAUUCUUCAUCAUGGAUUCACCCACAAUAUAUUACAACCACUUCCUCCUUCUGUAAAUGGAUCUUCUCUCUGUAAAUAGCUGGGUACACUAUAAAUCAUUAUUUUGGUAAAAGUC
rnacentral:lncRNA from 1 species